rnacentral:sRNA from 1 species
GACAAUGUUGACAUAGGAUUCAGGAAUCAGGUUGAUGACAUUCGAAGCUUUUUGGAUUCCAGACAUCUUGACCACUACACAGUAUACAAUCUGUCACCUAAGUCUUAUCGAACUGCCAAGUUUCACAGCCGGGUCUCAGAAUGCAGUUGGCCCAUUAGGCAGGCUCCCAGUCUGCACAACCUUUUUGCUGUGUGUCGGAAUAUGUAUAACUGGCUACUGCAGAAUCCCAAAAAUGUCUGUGUUGUCCACUGCUUGGUGAGUAACCUUUUGUUGUUGGUGGUGAUGGUUUGGUUUGGUCAAAUAUGGAUGAGCCUGUACACAAUGGUAGACAGGUAACAUUUGAGUUCAAUAGGAUUUACUGAGCCCAUAUUUAGGAAUUGGGUAAUGUGAGAGUUGUAAAAAUAAGAAAGGGAUUUAUUAUUCUUGACUUAAAGCUUGACUACUAGUGGGAAAGGCAGAUGUAUACACAACUCACAUAGUGUGGGGACUCUAGAAUGUGCUAAGUAUUAUAAAGGAGGU